UACGUAGGGGGCAAGCGUUGUCCGGAUUUAUUGGGCGUAAAGAGCGUGUAGGCGGCUUGGUAGGUCCGCUGUGAAAACUCGAGGCUCAACCUCGAGAUGUCGGCGGAAACCACUUGGCUAGAGUCCGGUAGAGGAGAGUGGAAUUCCCGGUGUAGCGGUGAAAUGCGCAGAUAUCGGGAAGAACACCUAUGGCGAAGGCAGCUCUCUGGGACGGUACUGACGCUGAGGCGCGAAAGCGUGGGGAGCAAACAGG
rnacentral:rRNA from 1 species